AGAAUAAUAUAUUAAAGGAGAAAUCAUAUUUGUUUAAUUAAUAUUGGUCAAUAAUUAAUUAAGAAUUAGUUUUGUGAUCAAAUGUAAUUAAUUAAACUAGAGGGGCUGAAUUGUAAUUAUGUGAUAGUUACAAAAUAAGGUAAGAGUUAUCUUAUUAUUAGGUUGGACGAAUUUAAGGAUAUAGAGCCUUAGAAUUCGAGUAUGAUAAGGAUUCAAGGAUUAUCUUAUGGGUUGCUUUGUGGAUAAGCAACUAGAUAAGGAUAAUGACUGAAACCCUAUCUCUACACCUAUAUAAACACCCCUUGGCUCAUGAAUUCGUGUAUCCCUUCCCAAGAAGUCUUAGAGAUGAAUUCUAACCUCCCUCCUCUCUCUUUAUACCUUCUCCACUUGCUUAUGGUGUUUGUAAGCCAUUAGAGGAGUGACACUUGUGACUCUCAGCUUUCCAAGGUCAAUUCAAGGAGGAAUUGGAUUGUUAUUGCUAUAUAACAAUCAAGGUAUGUUCUUAAACCUAUUUACAUGUGAAUUCUGAUUUCCAUAUGCUAGAAUUAGGGUUCAAAGUCUUGGAUUCAAAGUAUGUACAAUAGAGAAACCUAGAUCCAAGCUUUAGGGUUUGUAUGAGCACAUAGGAUGUCUUAUGACCAAAACCCAUCAGUGGUAUCAGAGCCAUGAUUGGUUUCUAUUGUAUUGAUGCUUGAUGUAACUGAAAAUCGUGUUUUGGCCUCACUGUUCGACCUGACUCGGCGAGUCACUCUUGGACUCGGCGAGUCAGCCCUACUCGGCGAGUUCCAGAGGGUGACUCGGCGAGUCGGUGCGUCAGACAGUGCUUAUCUCGGGAUUUCUUGCUGUUUUUGCAUUGGGAUAAUUACCUUAUCAUGUUAGAUUAAUAUUAAUCCGAUUAUAUGAUAUAUUUGACUAUAUUUUUAAUCUAAUUGAAGAUAUUUAUCAAUUAAUAAGAUAAUUGUUUCCUUAUAAGAUAAUUGAUUAAUUAUUUUAAGUAAAUUGAUAAAUUAUUUUGCAAGAAAUCAUCAAAUAUGGAUAAUUAUGUGAUUAAAUGUUAAUUUGAAUUAUUUGUUAUUUGAUCCUUGUUGUUGUGAAAAGUUUCAUAUUUGGCCCUUUAGGUUUUAUAGUUUAAAUUUGAACCCCAAAAGUUUUGUUGUUUUGAAAUUUAAAUAGUUGAAACCCUAAUGUUUUGAAAAAGGUUUCAAAACUUGCCCUCAAGUUUUGGAAUUUAAAUUUUGAUUAAAUAGUUUAAUUUUGAUGCAUAUUUAAAUUCUAAACCCUAAUGUGUUGAAAUGUUUCAAAACUUGCCCUCAAGUUUUGGAAUUUAAAAGUUGAUUAAAAGUUUAAUUAGGAAUGUUAAAUUCUAAAACUCUAGUAUUGUUUUGAAAAAGUUCAAAUCACACCCUUAUGGUUUUAUUAAUUAAUUAAGGUGUAUAAUUAAAAGAGGUUUAAUAAAUCCAUAAAAGUUUUGGUUUACAAUUUAAUUGAAUUAAAAGUAUAAUUGUUAAAUUUGACCACCUAGUAUUUUAAAAGUGUAAAAUACACCCUAUACUAUAUAUAACAUUAAAAGUCUAACAUUAUAUAUAUGUAUGAGUAAAAGUCAGUCUUACCGUUAGUAGGCCUCAUUCACGAAGCUGGUCUAUAAGGGGUGUUUAAGGAAAUUGCCUAUAAAAUGGCGAUUGAAUGGGUAUCCACUCUUACCCACCGCACUCUUGACUAGUGGAGGGUCGUUAGCCGAACGGGUAGGAUAGGACGAAACCUUCCAUUAUAAGUAUAAUGAAGUAUAAAAGUAACUAAAUGUUUUCAUAAAAUUCCCAAUCUUAGUUACUUAGGCAAAAGUGAAUUGAUGCAAUUCCAUGAAAUUACACUUUGUGCCCUUGCGAAGACGUUAGUGGAGCGUGUGUGGUUUACCGGCACACUAAAUGGUUCUAAGCAAAGGUAGCAAAGGGUGACUCAAUGUUUGUCAUAGUUCGGUGGAGCGUGUGUGGUUUACCGGCACAUCGAAUAGGUGACUGUAACAUGUGAGGGCACCAUGUAAGUUUGCAUGGUUAUUCACACCCGCUUUGUGAUCCUCGGCAUCCCAGUCACAAACAAGAGGGGCAUAUCGAGAUUUAAACAUGCCAUUGAAAUGUUCAAUGAAUCUCAAAGGAUCUAGGAGUUUUCAUAGAUUUAAAACUUAAAUUUCUUUUUCGUUUUUCAUGGUGGAAAUUAGUGAAUCGUCAUUCACUUACCUUCAAAUGUUCUGCAAUUUGGGUUACGGCAUCCCUCUCCCGAGUUGUAGAAUAUUGUGUUGGGUCCUAGCCUUAGUAUCUCAUUUGGGUGAUUUACUAAGGACUCAAUCAAUCAACUAACUUGAAUUCGUUUUCUCCCGUUUUGUAGAUGUCAAAGUUCGACAACUAUGGUCUUCCCAAAUCCCGUGGAACAAGCAUUCCACAUGAAGAUGAUAUUCCACGAUUCGAUCGAGGAACAAGAGAUCAUGCUUCACUUCCUCCUCCUCCUCCAAUUAUUCUCCCUAACCCACAAGUUCAAAGGCUUGAAAAGUUCAAGAUCACUCAAGCCCUUUUGGCAAGUAAACAUAAAGAAGGAAAGUCGGUGUGUGCACACGUCCUAGGGAUGAAGUCACACAUUGAUAGGUUAAGAAUGUUGGGAUCCGUUGUCUGUGAGGAAAUGGCUGUUGAUUGGGUUCUUCAGUCACUUCCUAACUCAUAUAGUGAGUUCGUAAGAGAGUACUAUAUGAUGAACCGCGACGUGACCCUUAUAGAUCUCACCUAUAUGCUUAUUGCUGCUGAAUCAGCAAUGGUUUGGCGCAAUAGAAAAGCAAAGUUGAUUGGUGAAUCUGCCUUCAAGACCUCUAUGGAUAUAGACAAUGGCAACGAAAGACAUGCUAUGAUCGAAAAGUUUGAUCAUAAGAGAAAGGCAAUGUCUGAAGUAGUUCCAUGUCAUGUUCCAAAAGAGUCAAUUUGCUUUUAUUGCCAAGAGAAAGGGCAUUGGAGACGAAGCUGCCCCAUUUACCUAAGAGAUCUAAGAGAUGGGAGAGUCGAAACGUAUGGCUCUAAUAUAGGUAAAAUCCAUUAACUAACUCUUUUAAGCUUCUAUUCUAGAUUCUUAAUACAUAAUGUGAUAAGAUUACAAUUGAUGUUUUGUAGGAUCGAAGAAAAGAAAGGAAGCUUAAAGGAAGAAGUGAGCAGAAUCUAACCGUGAAGGAAUGGAUUUCGAUCGCAUUUCUCGAAGAUUAGAUUCUUGAGCUACUACUUAGAGUUAGAAUUAGAUUGCUAAGAAAGAUGUAUUAGCAUAAGUUUUUCAAUGAAUUGCAUUGUAAGGACAAAUUUUUCCGCAAUAAAAUAAAUUUUGAUUUUAAAUUUUAUUUAUUUAUCCUUACAAUGGCGUGUAUGAAAAAUUGAUGUUAAAAUGUUUCUAUUAUUAGCAAUAAUGGAUUUGGUUCUUAUUAUGUUAUUUAUGGAAAGUCGAGAAUUUACCAAAUAGGGAGAGUUUCUCAUCGCCCAAGUUUCAAUUGGACAGAAACUUGGAAUCAUGCAACUUGGUUGCACGAUGAAUGAGAAAUUUCAUAUUUGGAAAUUAGACUAAUUCAUUGACAAAGUGUCAAGUGAAGGACUAGGAGAUCGAGUACACAAAGUUGCGUGUUGAUCAAGUCCACCAUAAGAGUAACAAAGAUAUUCGUCAUGAUUUACUAAAGGUUUAGUAAAUAUGAUUAUACUUAUAAGAUUAAGUGUAAUUCUGAAUUGAUUGAAAAGGUUUAAAUCAAUAGCAGAACGAAUAAGAAGAAUCAAGUAGGCAGAAAGAUAAAAGUUUCUCCAUUCUAAGAAGAAGGGAGAGUACCUUUUAUGCUUUAUGAUAGGUCUUAAUGAUUAAGAACCAUAUCUCAAUUGAUCCUCUAAGUGAGUCUUAGUACAAUUGUAUGUCUAAGAAGAGGAAUCAAGAAUUGAAGAAAUGGUUAAAUCAAUAAGUCAAUCAUACUUCGUUCCAAUAACAAGUCUUAAAGUUAAGAUUGUGACAUUGAGUGAAAGGUAUUAAGAAGGUUUAUAACAUUCAUUAAAUGUGGAAAGUUGUGAUGUCUUGGAUAAGACAAAGACCAACUAGGACCAAUUUAUGAAGUGUUUUGAUAAAAGCUACACUAACUCUUGAAUAUUUGUUUGUCAAGAAAUGGUUAUUGACAAGAGAAUCUUAUAUGUCAAGGAGUCAGUGGGAGUCUUAAUGGUCUUGAAAGGUUUCAAGAACAAAUCAAAUAAACCUUAUCGAUCAUCACUAGCACACGAGUUGAGGUUUACAACCUAUCGUGUUGACAUUAUUUUGAUUCUGUGCCAAUCCAAUCGAGUUAAUUAUGCAUGUGAGUUCUAUGAGUUCUCAUUUUGAACGCAUAAAAGGCAAAGCACCUUAAUCAAUGAAAGGUACAUUGAUAGGAAAGGGUGAGCUGCUUAACUACUUGGAAGACAUGGUGGGCAGCUGUGCUACCAUAAAGGCAAGAAAUCGAGAUCAAGAAAGUUCGAUCCAUAAGAGUUUGAAUUUGUCGUAAACUUUGGUUUUGACAAAUUCACAUGGAUAGGAACAAAUACACCGUUUAAAUCUAAGUGUCAUAAGAUUUCCUCCUUCAUGAAAAUGAUUGUGAGGAAAUGCUUUCACUAAGACAGAUUUUAAGAAGAUAGUGAUUGUAAAAUUGCAUUCUCGAAUUCAAUUAUGGUUACGGCAUCCCUUUCCAUAAUUUGAAUUGUGAGGUUUGGCAAUUAGUCUUAAUUGUUUAGACACACAUAUGAACUAUCGAAGGCAAAGGUGUAUAAGUUCAAGAAGCCUUGAUAAAAGAUUAUCAAAGCACUAAGUAUUAGAAACAUGAACUUAAGAAAUUCAAUAAGCAUUUUUUUUCUGAAAGUUAAGAUGUUUAUGAAUACAUGUCGAAGCUAGUGGGAGCAUAAGUGUUAUGUUUUAUAAUAAUCAUCAAGAUAGUGGGAGCAUAAAAGUUAUGAUUGUAUGAUUAUUAAGGAAAGUAUUGCAAGGUUAGCAAUAUUAAUUAUAGAAAACAAGAGUCAUACUUUGCAAAGUCGCAAUAGUUGAAGAGUUGUUUUGCUAUAAUUAAGGGAGAGAAUAUUAUGCUUCAUUUCAAAUCUAAAGGUUUAGGUUGAGAAAUGUUAAUAAAAUUUAGUCAAAGGUACAAAGUGUGUUCUUAAAAUUUCGAUUAUGAUUACGGCAUCCCUCUUCACAAUUCGAAUUUUGAGAACAUAGCAAAUAAAACAUUAUGCGUCGUGUCCCAUACGCUUCGGGUAUAGGAUCGAUUGCAAAUGCUUUAAUGUUUGACCAUUCUAAAAUUUUCCAAAUGUCGAGCGCAUUUAGAGGGAAAAGGGACUAGAAUUGGUUUUGACUAAAAUAAUUAAACAACUAUCAAAGGACAAUCAAAGUUCGACGAGGAUUGGUCGCUUGUGAGUAGUUGGAAGUAUAGUAUUGGAAAAUAUGGAAAUGUUUCCAUAUUGGAUGGACCAUAUCGACAUCAUUACGAAUAGAUAAGAUUCUAUUAAGAAUGAGUUGUCAUAUGGAACAUAUGGAAGUGUGUCCAUAUUGGGAAUUGAAUAUUGAGAAAUCUAUGACUAGAUUAGAAACUUCUAUGCAAAAGGAUGUUCAAAGAAUGUACUUUGAGUGAGAGACAUCACAUCUAUGGAAUUGUCUUGUAACAAUCUCCGAUAGAGGACUUUGUAAUAUCAUUGGCAAUAGUCUUUGUGACUUUGGUGCAGUGACAUUACGAAAGGAUAGUUGCAUAGAAUGUUAGAAUCUAGCAUAUUCUAUAAGUAGCAAGAAUUUGAUAUUCUUUCACUUAUGAAAAAGGAUUUGGAGUUGUGAAAUGAGAAUGAUUGGAAAUGUGUUCAAUGUGAUCUAUUUCACAAAGUAAGAACCAUAGGUAAACAUUGUGUGCAUGCUAGGAGCAUGGGACAAGUGUUGUAAUUCAAGUAAGAAGUUGAUUACCCGAAACGACAAAUAAUGAGUAAUCAAUAUGGUGAUAAAUAAAAGGUGUUUUAUUUAUACUCAAAGGUUUGAGGCCAUAUGGGAUUAGUAUUAUUCUUGUGUUUCACAUUUGCAUGUUUUGACUUCCAGAAUAAUUGAGUUUAUUAAGAAUAAUCGAAUUAUUCGAACGGGCCACAGUCGUUCAUAUGUUGGAAGUAGAUAUGAAUGAAGACUGUCGUGAAUUGGUGUGUGGAUUGUCUAAAAGAGUAUUAGACAUAAGCAAAUGUUUGCUGCAACGUUCAUGAGUGCUUAUGAAUAUGAUUUGAGCAUUGGAUUAAACCCACGCUCACUUGGAUCACUCCAUGAAUUGUAUCACGAGUGAUUGGUGAGACGAUAACAUCUUAUAUUCUUGAAACCGAGAUGUGUGAGUUGUAUCUUGCAAAUCGGUUGCACAUUGAUAAUAUGUAAACGCACCAGUAACUUGGUGUUAUAAAACAUAUUGUUGUGUGUGAUUCGGUGCGUGAGUACAAGCAAGCAUUGUAUCAAAGUUUAUCCGUUCCUUUUAUCCAAAGUAGGAUAAAAGCGAUAUCUUUGGGCCCCUCGAUGGUUUAGUGAUGACAAACGUAAAUGCUCGGCCGGGCUAGGGCUAAUUUGAUUUGUUCAAUUAGUCAGUCGUCAUAAAUCGGAAAUCGAGAUAUAGUACAAAGAGAAUGAUUUGAAAUCAUAUCUCAUAUGAUAUCUAGAAUGGAGGAAUAUAUGAUCCCUUAUCUAAGGACACGCGUAUUUGAUAUGAUCAGAGUUGACAGCGGCUUUGGAAAGCUACGAUUGCAGAUCGGGAUCUGAAGUCAUACGCAGAAUAGUUAUUAGACUUAUCCAAGUGGGAGACUGUUGGAUUAGUGUCUAAGUCCAUAACUAUUUUGGUAUGUACUUGACCCGAUGGUGCAUGGUCCUUUUGGGUUGCCUUCACCAAAGCAACUUGAUUGGAGAAAUAAAUAUAGAGAGAGAGGAUAAUAUGAUUUAUUAAUAUGUUAUAAGAAUAAUAUAUUAAAGGAGAAAUCAUAUUUGUUUAAUUAAUAUUGGUCAAUAAUUAAUUAAGAAUUAGUUUUGUGAUCAAAUGUAAUUAAUUAAACUAGAGGGGCUGAAUUGUAAUUAUGUGAUAGUUACAAAAUAAGGUAAGAAUUAUCUUAUAAGUAUGGUGAACGAAUUUAAGGUUGAAAAGCCUUAGAAUUCGAGUAUGAUAAGGAUUCAAGGAUUAUCUUAUGGGUUGCUUGGUGGAUAAGCAACUAGAUAAGGAUAAUGACUGAAACCCUAUCUCUACACCUAUAUAAACACCCCUAGGCUCAUGAAUUCGUGUAUCCCUUCCCAAGAAGUCUUAGAGACGAAUUCUAACCUCCCUCCUCUCUCUUUAUACCUUCUCCACUUGCUUAUGGUGUUUGUAAGCCAUUAGAGG
rnacentral:lncRNA from 1 species